rnacentral:rRNA from 1 species
CCCUUAGAUGUUCUGGGCCGCACGCGCGCUACACUGACGAAGGCAACGAGCUUAUAACCUUGGCCGAAAGGUCUGGGUAAUCUCCAAAUUUCGUCGUGAUGGGGAUAGAUUAUUGCAAUUAUUAAUCUUCAACGAGGAAUGCCUAGUAAGCGCAAGUCAUCAGCUUGCGUUGAUUACGUCCCUGCCCUUUGUACACACCGCCCGUCGCUCCUACCGAUUGAAUGGUCCGGUGAAGCGUUCGGACCGUGGCCUUUGGACGGUUCGCCGUCUGUUGGCUGCGGGAAGUUCGUUAAACCUUAUCAUUUAGAGGAAGGAGAAGUCGUAACA